GUCCCUGUAGCGCAAUGGAUAACAUGUUGGACUUCUAAUCCAAAGGUCGUGGAUUCGAAUCCCACCUGGGAUG
rnacentral:tRNA from 1 species